UCGACUCCUUCUACCUGACGGUGUUCAUCAUCCUGUGUGCGGCAGGAAUCACGUUAUGUCUCAUCACAUCUCUCACUGUGGAGUUUCUGGGUCUCUCUGCAGCCACCAACCUGCAUCACAACCUGCUCAACAAGAUCAUCCACGCUCCCAUCAGGUUUUUUGACAUCACUCCCCUGGGGCAGAUCCUCAACAGAUUCUCAGCUGAUACCAACAUCAUUGACCAGCAUAUUCCUCCGACGCUGGAGUCUUUGACCAGAUCUACGCUGCUCUGUUUGUCAGCCAUCGGGGUCAUAUCCUCCAUCACGCCAGUUUUUGUUAUCACCUUGCUUCCUCUGGCGGUGGCUUUCUACUUCAUCCAGAAGUACUUCAGGGUGGCCUCCAAGUGAGU